CCCGUCAGAAAUCUGGAACCGGAUCUGUCCGCAACCCUGGAACGACCAGGGAGGCGUGACUCAGAGCCGCAGAGGUCCCGAGUCGUCAAUCAGGCUACCGGGCGUCCUCCCCAAGUGUCUAUCAGAGCCGCCGGGCACCCCAGGACCCCAGGCGUCAAUCAGAACCGGCCCCGCCCCAGGCCUGACGCCAGCCUAAGCCGGCAGACAUCCCCCUGCCUCCGCUGGCCCUCAUCCUAGCAGAGCUCCAGUCCCGCCCGGCGCGGUCGCAUCUCUCUUCCCCGUGGGGGGAGUCCCCCGCAGGCCCACCCCACCGGAUGCUCCCCUCCCCACUCACCGGCCGCCCACACAGCGUCCUCGGGGGCGGCCCGAACAGAGACAACCAGGCCCGCGGCGCUGAGGCGGGGCAGACUGGAUGCGCGACCGAGGCGUGGCGCUUUAGGCCGCCCGGGGGCGUCAACGACCGGGUGGGGCGGGGCCUUCCGGCUGUCACUCGGUCCGGGUGGGCAGGACCACGGUGAAAGGGCGGUGCCUCGGUAGUUGUAAAUCGGGAGGAAAUGGGGCAGAGUGUGCAGGAUCAGAAUCCAGUGUGAGCACAAGUCUCGUUUUAGUUGUUCCAGGCGAUGAGAAGCUCAGAUCCGAUUUAUAACUGAAACCUUGCCUUCAGGGAUCCGUGGGGUUCCUCAUCCCCUUGUGCCUCCUAGAACUCUCCAGAAAACCUCCCACCUCUACCCUACUGCCUCCACCUUCCACACCCUUCCGGUUUCUGCCCCAGGCCAAGCAGGAUUGACUUCCUCGCUUCUAGCUGAGGCUAGAUAAAGCCACCCCUGGAGAUUUGCCGGUUUGGAGGCUGUUUCUCCUAGCCCCAUCUCUGCCUUAAGGAGCAGUUCUUGGCUGUGUUUCGGCAGGGUCCUGAAGCUCUCUUCUUUCAGAAAACCAAGGCAAAAAAUCGGUCACGAACUUUAACAAUUAGAGCCUUGGUAGACUUGUGGAUUAUAGUUGCAGGGUUCCUGCUUUCUCACCCCCUGAACUUAUAUUUAUCCUAUAUAUAACUUCAUCUUUUGGCAUUUGAUUGGAAAUAUUCUAAAAACAUCGUUUGAAUGGAAUAUUUUUUAAAUCCUUUUUGCUCAGACAAUCUUUAUGCUGGAGAUUGAAUCCAGGGCCUUGUGCAUGCUGGGGAAGAGUUUUCUUGAACCUGACACAAGCUAUAGUCGCCUGCGAAGAAGGAACAUUGAGGAAUGGCCUGCAUCAGACAGACCUAUAGGCACGUCUGUGGGACAUUUUAUCGAUGAUGUGGGAGGUAAAAGUCAGUGGGACCUGGCAGUUUAAGAAAGCAAACUAAGCAAGCCAGGAAGCAGUGUUCUUCUAUGUCCUGUCUCCAGAAUCCUGCCUGGAGUUCUUGCCCUGACUUCCCUUGAUGAUGGACUGUAAGCCAAAUAAAUCCUUUCCUUCCCAA